UACGUAGGUGACCAGCGUUGUCCGGAUUUACUGGGCGUAAAGCGUGCGCAGGCGGUUCGUUGUGUCCGUCGUGAAAGCCCCGGGCUUAACCUGGGAACUGCGAUGGAAACUAGCGAGCUGGAGUGUGGCAGAGGGGGGUGGAAUUCCGCGUGUAGCAGUGAAAUGCGUAGAGAUGCGGAGGAACACCGAUGGCGAAGGCAGCCCCCUGGGCUAACACUGACGCUCAGGCACGAAAGCGUGGGGAGCAAACAGG
rnacentral:rRNA from 1 species